CAGGAGCUGAACUCCAAUAAUAUAAUGUUGUUGUUGCCUUGUACAAUGAUCUUCUGGUUCUGUUCGCUUCACUUAGCAUCAUUCAUGUCCAGAGUAAGGAGCAAUGGAAGGUUAAUGGAUCAAGCACAUCAAGUCAUGGAUCAAGCACAUCAAGUCAUCAUCACUAUUCUGAUUACUAUUUCCUAGAAACCCAAAAGAUAUAAUCCAUGACUCUGGAUGCAAGAGUCUUGAUAAUGGGUACCCAAACCACCAGAACUUCUUUUAGUUUAGUCAUCACUGAGAAGUCACUGUAGAGUCCUGUCUUCUCUUCACCACCAGUAACAACUGCUAUGUGAACUCUUUUGGUAUCUGGCAAACCUGCAAUCAAUUUCCUUUUGGCUAGAGAAAGCUGGAGAUUUGUGUUACUGUUUAAUGAACUAGGAUUUAGUGCCUACUCUGUGUCAGGUACAGUGCUAAAUACUGCUGAUAGUUCAGUCAUUUGGACCAUGUUUAACUCUUUAUGACCCCAUUUGGGGUUUUCUUGGCAAGAUAAUGAAGUAGUUUGCCAUUAUUUUCUCCAGUUCAUUUUACAGAUGAGGAAACUAAGGCAAGUAGAGUUAAGUGACUUGACCAGAAUCAUACAACCAGUGUCUGAGGCAGGUUUUUACUCAGGUUUUCCUGACUUCAUGGUGCUCUAUCCAUUGCAACACCUAGCUGCAAGCUAAGUAUUAAAGAUAUAAAUGAAGAGUUACAAGAAUACUUCUCAAAUCUCAGGUAGUACCCUUGUGUAGAGAGCCAGAGAUAGUGGGGAAACUCUGGGUGAGGUAUAAGACCCUUCAGCCCAGAGGGAACCUGCUGAUGGUGCCUGGUUCCACUAUCAUCUCCCCUUGGGAACAUCCCACCUUCCUGAGAAAUCAAGAGGAGUGACAACCUGUGUUCUACUUGAAGCAGAGAUACUUGCCACAAAGAGGCAUCUACAUAAUAAUAGCAAGUGCUUAUAUGGCUCUGCAUGCUCAGCAUCCUAUAGUUGCCUAGUAUAGUUAGCACAUGCACAGUGCACUAUAGUGAUGUAAUUGUACCAAAAUAGAGAGAACUGGAAAUAAAGAGACUCCAUGUUUGACCAUUCACAUGAGUCUUGCCCCUUCACUUCUUUCCCAAGAUCAAGGACUUGGGCUGGUACCUAGAUCCUCCAGAGAGUUAGUCUGGACACUACACUCUUGUAGACUUAACUGGUUUAGCUUCUCUUGGGAUUAAACAGGAGCUUCACUAUACCACUGAAUCCUCCUGUGAUGAUCAGUAAUUGUGCCUUGGGCUUAGUAUGGUCUGAUUUUAUAUAACAAAUAAGAGGUUCCAAAAUUUGUUUGCACCAAUAUACUAAUACACUAACAUCAUAUUUCAAUGUAGCUAUUAAAUAUUUAGCAAACAACUUAUGAUAAAAUGUAAUCAUCAUUCUGAUCAGUACAAAGAAUACUGGGUUAGUAAAAUAGAUAACUUUAUCUCAAACAUUUGUUUAUCAGACAUAUGUAAGAAAACGACAUACCUAAAUGCCUGAAGUAAAUGCUUAUUAAAAUUCAAGGUGGAAUCACUCAUAUUAAGAGUAUUCCUAUAUCAUAUGAUGACAAAUGUAUUAGACUAUUUGUAUCAGAUUGUAUAUAUUGUGAAUAAAGAUUGUGUAUAUUUUUUCAAAGGAGAAUCUCUUUUGUAGAGAUGAGCAGUCCAUUGGGUAUGAAAUAUUGCAUAUGAUGUCAGAUAUUUUUGGAUGUAUUACUUGGUUUUGAUGAUUUCCUUUUUCUUUUCCUCCUUUAUUCUUUUAAUUUUUUUUAAUAUAAGGGAUGGCUCUCUAGAAAAGAAGAGGAAGAGAUACUGGGGGUAAUAAAGUAAUGUAAAAAAAAUUCUAUUUAAAAUAUGACUGGCAAUGCAAAGCAUUUUAUGAACUAAGUGGUUAAAGUAAUUUUAAGCAAAUUAUUUCAUCUUUCUAGUUUUCAAAGAAAAAAUUUGUACUAUAUGAUCUGCUUAAUCCCAGCUCCAAAUUUAUGACGACAUGUCUCCUUUCAUAAUAAAGGCCUCAAUGCAGUUAUAUAACAUUUCCAACAAAUAUUUUAUAGAAUUAGCUUCUAGUUUGAAACUUCUAAUGUCUAAACCAAAUUUCUUCUGCUUUAGAAAAUUUAUUACUGUAUCUUCUUUAAUGAAAACAGGAAAAUGCAAUUACUAUUACAACAGAGGACUGGACAAUAGGAGUCCCAUUCCUAGAGUACAUUCUUCCUGUGUCAAACAACAGGAAAAAUCUGUAGAACCUAUUUACAGAAAGAUGUGUUGCUGUGUAAAAUCAAAGGACUAUACUCCCCAAUUCAGAACAUGUAAGGUAGGCAUUCUGUUUCUGGUCAAUUUACAUUAUGAUGAAGGGGAACCUUUUUGGUUGACUGCUAAACUGGAACUGAGAGACAGCAAAAGACACCCACAGGGGCAACUCUGUCCACUUAACUUCAUAGCUAGAUGAAGGUGAAGAAGUUUUUGUCUCUUUACUGAGGUUGAUUUAUGGUCCAUGAAUAAAGGUCUCUUUCUCUUGUG